rnacentral:rRNA from 1 species
UGGGGGCUGCUAUACAUGCAGUCGAGCGGACAGAAGGGAGCUUGCUCCCGGAUGUUAGCGGCGGACGGGUGAGUAACACGUGGGUAACCUGCCUGUAAGACUGGGAUAACUCCGGGAAACCGGAGCUAAUACCGGAUAGUUCCUUGAACCGCAUGGUUCAAGGAUGAAAGACGGUUUCGGCUGUCACUUACAGAUGGACCCGCGGCGCAUUAGCUAGUUGGUGGGGUAAUGGCUCACCAAGGCGACGAUGCGUAGCCGACCUGAGAGGGUGAUCGGCCACACUGGGACUGAGACACGGCCCAGACUCCUACGGGAGGCAGCAGUAGGGAAUCUUCCGCAAUGGACGAAAGUCUGACGGAGCAACGCCGCGUGAGUGAUGAAGGUUUUCGGAUCGUAAAGCUCUGUUGUUAGGGAAGAACAAGUGCGAGAGUAACUGCUCGCACCUUGACGGUACCUAACCAGAAAGCCACGGCUAACUACGUGCCAGCAGCCGCGGUAAUACGUAGGUGGCAAGCGUUGUCCGGAAUUAUUGGGCGUAAAGGGCUCGCAGGCGGUUUCUUAAGUCUGAUGUGAAAGCCCCCGGCUCAACCGGGGAGGGUCAUUGGAAACUGGGAAACUUGAGUGCAGAAGAGGAGAGUGGAAUUCCACGUGUAGCGGUGAAAUGCGUAGAGAUGUGGAGGAACACCAGUGGCGAAGGCGACUCUCUGGUCUGUAACUGACGCUGAGGAGCGAAAGCGUGGGGAGCGAACAGGAUUAGAUACCCUGGUAGUCCACGCCGUAAACGAUGAGUGCUAAGUGUUAGGGGGUUUCCGCCCCUUAGUGCUGCAGCUAACGCAUUAAGCACUCCGCCUGGGGAGUACGGUCGCAAGACUGAAACUCAAAGGAAUUGACGGGGGCCCGCACAAGCGGUGGAGCAUGUGGUUUAAUUCGAAGCAACGCGAAGAACCUUACCAGGUCUUGACAUCCUCUGACAACCCUAGAGAUAGGGCUUUCCCUUCGGGGACAGAGUGACAGGUGGUGCAUGGUUGUCGUCAGCUCGUGUCGUGAGAUGUUGGGUUAAGUCCCGCAACGAGCGCAACCCUUGAUCUUAGUUGCCAGCAUUCAGUUGGGCACUCUAAGGUGACUGCCGGUGACAAACCGGAGGAAGGUGGGGAUGACGUCAAAUCAUCAUGCCCCUUAUGACCUGGGCU